AACCCUUUAUAAUGUAAUAUUUCACACAUCUCAACAUAUAGGCCCAAAUUUAUUGAAGCAGUGUGUGUGUGUGUGUGUGUGUGUGUGUGUGUGUGCCAAAAACCCUGUCCAUAUUUUCUUUGUUUUACCCUCCAGUCUCCCAAUGAACUAGGAAAGGAGCUGGCUGUAUUCUUUUCCUUUGGGGAACAAAAGUACAUGAAAUCAACCAGUCCUCUCUCAGAUUUAAAUAGGAUAGAAAGACUGAUAUCAAUAGGUGUUCUAUAUCUAUAUACAUAUAUAGAUAUAUAAUUGGAAUGUUACUGUAUGGCUUUACCAAGGAAACAGCAGUGGGAUGGUAAUGUGUUUUCUUUGACCUAGCAUAAUUUCUCUCGGAUCAAAUAUGUGCAAUCAUGUGUGUUCAUGUAUGUAUGUGUGCAUAGGCACACUUUUUAAAAUAAUUAGAAUCCUUUACAAUAAUAACUGUUACCAGCCCUAGGAGGGUAAUAGGAUAUUCUGGUUGAUCAGUUAUUUGAAAUGAUAAUACAAUAAAUAUUUACUUAGAGAACUUAAGAAAAGUAACAUGAUUAGAUCAAUUUUCAAUUAGAAUAAAAUUAAAAUAGACUUUAAUAGUGAUAAAAUUAACUUUUUUGGUGAUUCAGAAAGUACCCUCAUAAAGAAUAUCAUUUUUCAUCUUGGUGAUAGGCAAAAGUCCUAAUUUAGGUCUGACUGAAGGACAGAUAACAGAGUUUACUGUUCAUGAUAUUCCAUUAAAAUGAAUCUGAUUGAAUUCUCUUGUAUACUGUUGGUCUAUUGUAAUUAAAAUUUUUGUGUCAUUUAAAAGAAACAGAUUUCCCAGAAUAUGGAUUUUUCCAAGUGUGUUCUUAUCUAGAACAAAGAGCUCUUUUUGCAGAAGGGGACAUUUUUUUUUCUCCGUUCCAUUGCAUUCUUCAAAUCACACUGUGAUCUAAUUUCAUUAAUAAUAUGAUUCCUAAAAGAAAAAAGAUUAAAUUUUUAAUAGAUGGCACUUUUUUCUAGACAAAGGAAAAUAGUUUUGUUUUCACCAGGUGUUUUAGUAUCAUUGUUUCAUAUACAUCAGUGAAGUGGUCAAUAUGAUAAUACCUACAUACACUAAAAAAAUUUUUAGCUAAAUUUUCUAUUCAAACUUGUCAAAUAUACCAGGACAAAGCCAUGUGCUUUAAAAGAAAAUGAAUAAAGCAGCUCAUUUUCUCAGGUCUAAUCAGACUUAAUGGAUUCAAUUAAUGUUGUUUAAUAUUAAAUGUUUCCAAAGACCUCCUUUGUCAGAAUCAUCUUUAUGUAGUCUACUACCUUUUUAUAUCUUCUACUUAUGGAACAGAUAGGAAAUAUAUCAAUAAAUUAUUAUUGGUAUGAUAAUGUGUUUCUUAAACCUGGAAUAACUUUUAGGUAUAAUUUUAACUCUUUUAAUGAAA
rnacentral:lncRNA from 1 species